rnacentral:rRNA from 1 species
ACGAACGCUGGCGGCGUGCUUAACACAUGCAAGUCGAACGGAAAGGCCCUGCUUUUGUGGGGUGCUCGAGUGGCGAACGGGUGAGUAACACGUGAGUAACCUGCCCUUGACUUUAGGAUAACUUCAGGAAACUGGGGCUAAUACCGGAUAGGAGCUCCUGCUGCAUGGUGGGGGUUGGAAAGUUUCGGCGGUUGGGGAUGGACUCGCGGCUUAUCAGCUUGUUGGUGGGGUAGUGGCUUACCAAGGCUUUGACGGGUAGCCGGCCUGAGAGGGUGACCGGCCACAUUGGGACUGAGAUACGGCCCAGACUCCUACGGGAGGCAGCAGUGGGGAAUAUUGCACAAUGGGCGGAAGCCUGAUGCAGCAACGCCGCGUGCGGGAUGACGGCCUUCGGGUUGUAAACCGCUUUCGCCUGUGACGAAGCGUGAGUGACGGUAAUGGGUAAAGAAGCACCGGCUAACUACGUG